rnacentral:rRNA from 1 species
AUUGCCCUAGUAACGGCGAGUGAAGCGGCAACAGCUCAAAUUUGAAAUCUGGCCUUCGGGUCCGAGUUGUAAUUUGUAGAGGAUGCUUUUGGUGAGGUGCCUUCCGAGUUCCCUGGAACGGGACGCCAUAGAGGGUGAGAGCCCCGUCUGGUUGGACACCGAUCCUCUGUAAAGCUCCUUCAACGAGUCGAGUAGUUUGGGAAUGCUGCUCUAAAUGGGAGGUAUAUGUCUUCUAAAGCUAAAUAUUGGCCAGAGACCGAUAGCGCACAAGUAGAGUGAUCGAAAGAUGAAAAGCACUUUGAAAAGAGAGUUAAAAAAGUACGUGAAAUUGUUGAAAGGGAAGCGCUCAUGACCAGACUUGGGCUUGGUUGAUCAUCCAGGGUUCUCCCUGGUGCACUCUUCCAGUUCAGGCCAGCAUCAGUUCGCUGUGGGGGAUAAAGGCUUUGGGAAUGUGGCUCCCUCGGGAGUGUUAUAGCCCAUUGUGUAAUACCCUGUGGUGGACUGAGGACCGCGCUUUUGCAAGGAUGCUGGCGUAAUGGUCAUCAGUGACCCGUCUUGAAACACGGACCAAGGAGUCGUCUUCGUAUGCGAGUGUUCGGGUGUUAAACCCCUACGCGUAAUGAAAGUGAACGCAGGUGAGAGCUUCGGCGCAUCAUCGACCGAUCCUGAUGUUCUCGGAUGGAUUUGAGUAAGAGCAUACGGGGCCGGACCCGAAAGAAGGUGAACUAUGCCUGUAUAGGGUGAAGCCAGAGGAAACUCUGGUGGAGGCUCGCAGCGGUUCUGACGUGCAAAUCGAUCGUCAAAUAUGGGCAUGGGGGCGAAAGACUAAU